rnacentral:rRNA from 1 species
UUUUAUUUGAGAGUUUGAUCCUGGCUCAGGAUGAACGCUGGCGGCGUGCCUAACACAUGCAAGUUGAGCGAUUUACUUCGGUAAAGAGCGGCGGACGGGUGAGUAACGCGUGGGUAACCUACCCUGUACACACGGAUAACAUACCGAAAGGUAUGCUAAUACGGGAUAAUAUAUUUGAGAGGCAUCUCUUGAAUAUCAAAGGUGAGCCAGUACAGGAUGGACCCGCGUCUGAUUAGCUAGUUGGUAAGGUAACGGCUUACCAAGGCGACGAUCAGUAGCCGACCUGAGAGGGUGAUCGGCCACAUUGGAACUGAGACACGGUCCAAACUCCUACGGGAGGCAGCAGUGGGGAAUAUUGCACAAGGGGCGAAAGCCUGAUGCAGCAACGCCGCGUGAGUGAUG